rnacentral:misc_RNA from 1 species
GAUGAGGAACGUAGCGAAAUGCGAUACGUAAUGUGAAUUGCAGAAUUCAGUGAAUCAUCGAAUCUUUGAACGCACAUUGCGCCUGCCAGCACUCUGGCAGGCAUGCCUGUUCGAGCGUCAUUUCAACCAUCAAGCCCUAGGCUUGCGUUGGAGCCCUGCGGCUGCCGCAGGCCCCUAAAAGCAGUGGCGGGCUCGCUAUCACACCGAGUGCAGUAGAUUACUCUUCGCUCAGGGCGUGUGGCGGGUUCCAGCCGUGAAACCCCCUACUUCUCAAGGUUGACCUCGGAUCAGGUAGGAAUACCCGCUGAACUUAAGCAUAUCAAUAAGCGGAGGA